GAACAAGAGAAUAAUUCUUGGAAAUUUAUCAUCUGUUAGUUCAUUAUAGUAAAAUACAGUAAAAUAUCAGUGUCAUAAAAAAAGAUACAAUAACUUGGCUAUAUUAUAAUUAUUCUUUUUGUCAUAACGUUUACAUCAUUUUUGUAUGUUUCAAAGUAAUUACAACAUUUCUCGAAAAUACAAACUUUUGGAAAAUAGAAAAUUGAUAAUCUUCCUGACGAUUCUAAUCUUUAUUGUAAAUAUGUGUCAAAAGAGAAAAGUUAUCGAUCUUUACAAAACUUUACUAUUUAUGGGCCGAGACUAUCCGAAAGGUUAUGAGUUUUUUCGAACAAAUUUGCGUAAAGCUUUUAGAAAAAACAAAGAUGAGCAGAGUUCUGAGGAAAUCGACAAAAUGAUUGCACAUGGAGAG